GCAGCAUCUCCAGACGAGGGCGCACUGGUGAGAGCCGCACGGAACCUCGGCUUCGUGUUUUCAGGUAGAACUCCUGACAGCGUCAUUGUGGAAAUGCUUGGAACGGAAGAAAAGUACGAACUGCUUCAUGUGCUGGAGUUCACAAGGUAAUUCUUUAAUUAU